CCUACGGGAGGCAGCAGUGGGGAAUAUUGCGCAAUGGGCGAAAGCCUGACGCAGCGACGCCGCGUGAGGGAUGAAGGUCUUCGGAUUGUAAACCUCUUUCAGCAGGGACGAAGCGAAAGUGACGGUACCUGAAGAAGAAGCACCGGCUAACUACGUGCCAGCAGCCGCGGUAAUACGUAGGGUGCAAGCGUUGUCCGGAUUUAUUGGGCGUAAAGAGCUCGUAGGCGGUUAGACACGUCGGAUGUGAAAACUGGGGGCUCAACCCCCAGCCUGCAUUCGAUACGGUCUGACUAGAGUGUGGUAGGGGUAACUGGAAUUCCUGGUGUAGCGGUGAAAUGCGCAGAUAUCAGGAGGAACACCGAUGGCGAAGGCAGGUUACUGGGCCACCACUGACGCUGAGGAGCGAAAGCGUGGGGAGCAAACAGGAUUAGAUACCCUGGUAGUCCACGCCGUAAACGGUGGGCGCUAGAUGUGGGGACCAUUCCAUGUUCGUGCGUCGCNGCUACGCAUAGUCGCCCGCCGUCGGGAGGUACGGUCGCGAGACGUAAACGUAACGUAAAGAAGUUAGACGGUCGUUGAGACGUUGCCGACGGCGACGACGAGGGGAGGAGG
rnacentral:rRNA from 1 species